AUGUUUCACCAUUGCACACUGCACAUGCGCGAUAGGAGACAAACUGCAAACCUGGCAACCCGUUACGUGAGGCUAAGCAGCAGUACCACCUUCCUCUUCCUUUCUUUCCAGACCUUUCCAUCCUCCACGUCUCCAUGUAGCGGCACUGGCGGUCCAGCUGUUCAGUUGAUCCAGUGUGGGAAAGACCGGCCACAACAUGGCGUCCAACACCACGAAGACAGAAGCUCAGUUCAUGGAUGUGCUGUUGAAAUAUCUAAAUCCACCUCCUGCAAAUCCUGGGCCAUCUCCAGUCAUCAACAGCAUCAAGUGAUCCUCCUGUCGCCUCCACCUCAGAAGAACCCAGUGAGGCAGCAUCAGGAAUAAAGGUUGCACCAAUAGACCCUGCUGACUGGCCAUCUCCUCUAAUUUAUUAUUUUCUUGUUGACUGUUUUGAUUGGGCAACUUGUUUCUCUAAAAAUAAAAUAAAAUGUCAAAGACAAAGCAGUUCAGUUUCUUGCGUGAGUAUAUGUAUGUAUAUAACUGGCAGUGGAAUUUACUGCGAUGCAAGGGGUGCGCCACCUAAAAUCUUGCCUACGGCGCCAAAUUGGUUAGGGCCAGGCCUGUCUGUUGCACAAAGGUUUUCUAAAUCUUGACUAUCUUGAAGGUCCAGCAUGUAACAUAGUAGCAACAUAGUGGCAUUUAGCAGUGAUUUGCAGAUUGUAAACCUACGGUGGCUUUCAGGUAACGUAAAAAAUGCAAAUGGACGUAUCUAGCACCAGUGUUCUGAGCUCAACAUGGCGGGCUCCCUGUAAGAGGACUGUUAUGAAGGACUCAUUCUAAGCAAAUAAAACCAGAACGAUUCUGAGUUGAAAACAUAUAGUUAGGCUCUGCUUCUGCUAAUCAUCAGUCAGGAUCGAGACAGUUUCCCUGGACCUCACGGCUGUAUCUGACAGGUUACUGCAGCCUCUAACAGCUCUUUCUCUUUUCACUGAUUGUUACCAUGGAAACACUGGUCAGCAGGUGUCACUGAUCGUUACACUGGUCAGCAGGUGUCAGUGAUUGUUACCAUGGAAACACUGGUCAGCAGGUGUCAGUGAUUGUUACCAUGGGAACACUGGUCAGCAGGUGUCAGUGAUUGUUACCAUGGAAACACGGGUCAGCAGGUGUCACUGAUCGUUACCAUACAAACACUAGUCAGCAGGUGUUACUCAUUGUUACCAUGGAAACACUGGUCAGCAGGUGUUGCUCAUUGUUACCAUGGAAACGCUGCUCAGCAGGUGUCACUGAUCGUUACCAUAGAAAUACGGGUCAGCAGGUGUCACUGAUCUUUAACCACUGAAACAGCCAGAGGAUAGAGACUAAUCCAGUGGGGGGGGCAUCAAACCACUGCAGUGGGGUGUAAAGAACCUGGGGAAAAAUAUGGAGUGGAAAAAAUUGUUGUAUGAUUUAUGUAAAAAAAAAAAGUUUUUAAAAGAGUUUGCUGAUGCUAUCGUGUUUGCCUUUAUUCACAAAAAUUCAACUAGGAUGCUUUUAAUUGCUUCGCUCAUCGUUAUAUCAUUGAUAGAAAAUUGUGUGGUGGGGGGGCGUGAACUUGACUCUCAGGAGGGGGCAUAUGACAAGUGCAACAUUAAGAUGGUCAAACUCUGCGGUCUAAAAUAUCCUUGUGAAACUGGCACCUGAAGUCCGACUAUUAGUUUGAGCCGGUCUGUCAUUGUGAAAUCUGCCCCAGGAUCCUAAAACUGGAGCAGCUAAAUAAAAACCAGCCAUCGUUAAGUUUGUUAUUUACACCUGUGCUUUUCCUACUGUGGCAUGUCAAAAUGUCGUUCUGUGAAAAAGGCCUAGGGUUGUUCUGGGCAGCACCAAUUACUGCACUUAUGGUUGGUUGGAGAAGGGCAAUAAAAUGAGGGCGAAGAGAUAAAACAUUUAUGAUGAAGGGUCAAGAUUCCAGAUUAAACUGAACAUGAGGAUUGUGAAUUUCAGAAACAGAAUGACCACCAGGAUGACUGUGUGUGAAUGAAGCUGUCCUGCACCUGAGACACACAAGCUAAAAAAUGUAUCUCUAUAAUAGAUUUUAUUGUUUUAUUAGUAUUUGAGUAUACUGUCAUUGUUUAUCUGUGUGCUACAGCAAGCUGAAUUUCCCCUCAUAAGUAGCUAAACUGUGGCAUAAUAAGAUCUGCGAGCACUACAGUUUACUGUUAUUCAUUCUGCACAGUAAGAAAACAAAUACUGAAAUUAAAAUUAAUUAAUACAAUAUUACUAAACAACCUUUAAAUUACCAGUGCUUUCAUUUCUUGCUUGAUAGUGCAAUUUCAUUACUUGAAAAGGACAAAUCUUGAGCUAAAUCCACCAAAACAAAUCAACAAAUAAUAAUAAUAAUAAUAAUAAUAAAUAUUAAUAGAAUAUUAGAAUAAUAGAAACUCCAUGACAGCCUGGUAAAAAAUGACUCUUUCAGGCUUGGAGCUGUCCUCUUGUUGUCUGUAGCCAGCACAGAAAGGUACUUUUGAAAUUUCUAACAAGCAAAUUAUUAAGACUUUACAAGUGAACCAUUCACCAAGCAUUUUCUUUUGAAAUACUGUAUUUAUUAUUGAAGACCAGGCAGCUGCAAUCUGACCAACAUCCACAGGAGGUCAGUGUUAGACCACAAAAAUCUGGUUAAAAAAUAGGUUUUUAAACGGUUGCACUGCUGUACCUGUAAAUGUUACCUAAAUGUCUAGGGAAAAGGGAAUUGAAAUUUAAAGUAUUCUAUGAUUUCCAUAUUAAAAGUACAGCGAGUACAGAGAGAGGGAGAGAGCGUCUAACAGCGGUUGUGGGUCAUUUUCAAACCAAUGAGAAAUCUGUUAAUGAUUCAUUUGAUGAUGUAUUGUGAGAUAAAGCACCUUUAAAUGUUUAACCACUUGUUUUAUUUCAUGAAGAAGGAGUAAACCAGAAAGCAGUAUUACAUUUUACAUUACCAAUGUUUUAUUAGAGAUAUUUUCUUUUUUAUGUGGACACCUGAACAUUACAAGCCUGGACAUGAAUAUGUUGCCAUUACAGCUUCCAUCCUUCUGGGAAGAAUUUCCACAGCAAGUCAGUGUUCCCAUUCAUCCCAAAGGUGGUGGAUGGGGUGAGGUCAAGGCUCAGUCCAGUAUCACACUAAAGCAUGUAACAGACCCGCCGAUCCUACCGUGUACCGUGUCAGUGUCACAUUUUGCAAACAAAUACAGGACUCUCACCCAGGAGACCGCGUUCGAGUCCCAUGUAAAACCACAAGUCAAUGUUGACUUGUCAGGUACAUUCUUUUCCUAAACCUGGCCAAACUGCAGCCUCAGCAAGUUUUAUUUUGAAAGUGUUGCAUAUUUGUUAUUUCUAACUUGGCCACAGAAUGAACAUGUGGUAAAAAUGUCUCAUUGCCACGCCUAGGCGACAGUAGGCUGACGUGUGUUAAAAGCUUUGGCAUCAAGUUUUCCCAAACUGAACUGGGGGGAAAACAACAUUUCUUCAUGGAGCUGAAUUGUGAACAAUGACAAUGUUGGAAGUGCAAUAUUGUCGGAACACCAACACGGGCAGACCGGCUAAGUCAUCUAUAACAGCAGCUACAUUUUGCAGCAGCUACUUUGCUGUCCAUCAGGAAACUGUAAAUCACAGAGAGUAGAGUUCAGCCGGAGGACAUCAGAGGGAAAACCAGAAAACAUGUUGUCCAUAAAAUAGGAUCCAGGAAAAAGACAUACGGGGCACAAAGUGGGAAUGAUAAAAUAUAAGUAUAGCAGGUAUUGUAAGGUAGAAAAGUUAUACAAUGUUGCUUUAAGAUUUCCCUUAAAUUGAACUAAGGGUUCUAGCCCAAACCACAAAACAGCCCCAACCCAAAAGUACACAAUAUGUGGGCGUCUGCAUAUAUUUGACCAUAUAGUGUUUUUGUAUUGACUGAGUGUGUGAAGAGGAGAGGAGGGGAAGAGUCACAGUUACAGGAGUCUAAACCAUGCUGCAGCUGUCCCGGCUCGUCAUCCCACAAACACACACACAAACACACACACAGACACACACACACACACACACACACACACACACACACACACACACACACAGCCUUAAAUACUCAUAUACAGUAAAUUCACACCUCAUCACCAGUGCUGCUUAUCUGCAUUGUUUUAUGGAGAUUACUCAUACUGACGCAUUUGAAUAACAUCUUCUCCAUCUGGAAGAGGACAGAAGCAGCUAAAGAAAUCUGCCGUCGGCUCUGCUGCUCAUCUUUCUGUGUGGCUCUAUUUAUACGGACUGCAAUGUUCUAACAGCGACCCAGUUAAGACAACACUCUGCCAUGAAAACAGUAUUUUCAAAUUACAAAGAGUUUAUGCUGCAUUCUGUGAUACUGCUGUUAAAGUCAUUUGAGUGAUCCUGCUUCUCGCAUGAAAUUACUGCCUAAUGUCGAAUAAACUGCAAUGCACAAAGUGGAAAAAUGAUUUACUGUCACUCAGCCAACAUAUUUGCUUAUGUUGAUGUCCCUGGUUAAUAAGUUUGACUACGAAACAUUACACCUCAGGUUUUCAGUCUUGUUUUUGUCAGCGUGUCACAGUGCUGCCGAGAGGUCAAAUGAAAGAAAUUCUGAGAUACACACAUUUUUUAAAAAAAACCCUACCCUGCCAAAAUGAUUGAUGGGACAUAAUUAAACAUUAUGACUCUUUUUCUUUUUUUUAAGGAUAUCAGGUCACCUGCAGCUGUGCUAAGCAACUUCUCAAUCUGGCAACUUCAAGGUGGAAAUGAUUUAAUGUGACAGUAAAGUGCACAUGGCACACGGAUGUUUAGACAUCCGUUCAGCCCAUGAUGUUUUGUGCCAAGAGAUUAAAAAGGGAAAUCAGCGUCUCUGUUAGUGUCAAUGGAAGGCUCUUCUCUAAUUCUAAUUUAUCUGAC
rnacentral:lncRNA from 15 species